AAGGGUAAAAGCUCGUUUGA
rnacentral:snRNA from 1 species